CCUACGGGGGGCAGCAGUGAGGAAUAUUGGUCAAUGGACGAGAGUCUGAACCAGCCAAGUAGCGUGAAGGAUGACUGCCCUAUGGGUUGUAAACUUCUUUUAUAUGGGAAUAAAAUGUUCCACGUGUGGGAUUUUGUAUGUACCAUAUGAAUAAGGAUCGGCUAACUCCGUGCCAGCAGCCGCGGUAAUACGGAGGAUCCGAGCGUUAUCCGGAUUUAUUGGGUUUAAAGGGAGCGUAGGUGGAUUGUUAAGUCAGUUGUGAAAGUUUUCGGCUCAACCGUAAAAUUGCAGUUGAAACUGGCAGUCUUGAGUACAGUAGAGGUGGGCGGAAUUCGUGGUGUAGCGGUGAAAUGCUUAGAUAUCACGAAGAACUCCGAUUGCGAAGGCAGUUCACUGGACUGCAACUGACACUGAGGCUCGAAAGUGUGGGUAUCAAACAGGAUUAGAUACCCUUGUAGUC
rnacentral:rRNA from 1 species